rnacentral:rRNA from 1 species
UUCUGGGCCGCAUGCGCGCUACACUAAUGUAUUCAACGAGUAUAUGGCCUUGGCCGACAGGCCCGGGUAAUCUUGGGAAAUUUCAUCGUGAUGGGGAUAGAUCAUUGCAAUUGUUGGUCUUCAACGAGGAAUGCCUAGUAAGCGCGAGUCAUCAGCUCGCGUUGACUACGUCCCUGCCCUUUGCACACACCGCCCGUAUG